CCGCAUGAACCUCUCGCAUCACUCUAUCGGCAGAAGCGCGGUCCAAACAUAAUAGCAGCAUCCCAUCAGGUGAUCGUCUAUAUAGUGUCUCGCCACAGAUCACGAAUCGGGUGGCCAACUGUCUCAAUGCUCUCCUAUCCUUGGCCGUGGCGGCCUCAGGAUAUACGCCGAGUCUCAAAAAGUGAUAUAUGUCAUGAUACCAUGGCAAACCAUCAUCUGGCUCUGCAUCAUCGAUCAAGCAACAGUAAGCAGGAGCAGAUCUCGACUCGAUCAACAAAGGUCGAACAGUGGCGUCAACGGGAAUGUCGAUCAUGGAAGCUAGAGUAGCUAAAG
rnacentral:lncRNA from 1 species